rfam:Pelecanus crispus contig29796, whole genome shotgun sequence.
GCCUGGUUAGCUCAGUUGGUUAGAGCGUGGUGCUAAUAAUGCCAAGGUCACAGGUUCAAUCCCUGCUCACUGCA